AGCGAACGCUGGCGGCAGGCCUAACACAUGCAAGUCGAACGAACCUUUCGGGGUUAGUGGCGGACGGGUGAGUAACACGUGGGAACGUGCCUUUAGGUUCGGAAUAACUCAGGGAAACUUGUGCUAAUACCGAAUGUGCCCUUCGGGGGAAAGAUUUAUCGCCUUUAGAGCGGCCCGCGUCUGAUUAGCUAGUUGGUUGAGGUAAUGGCUCACCAAGGCGACGAUCAGUAGCUGGUCUGAGAGGAUGAUCAGCCACAUUGGGACUGAGACACGGCCCAAACUCCUACGGGGGGCAGCAGUGGGGAAUCUUGCGCAAUGGGCGAAAGCCUGACGCAGCCAUGCCGGGUGAAUGAUGAAGGUCUUAGGAUUGUAAAAUUCUUUCCCCGGGGACGAUAAUGACGGUACCCGGAGAAGAAGCCCCGGCUAACUUCGU
rnacentral:rRNA from 1 species